GUGUCGGCUGAAAGCCGGACAGAUUUUUAGUGUAUGCGCCAGAACUGGCCCAGAUGAUGAAAUAGUAUACCAGUAGUAAACACUAUUUAUAGCUGUUGGCCCGAGUGUAAGCAUACUCAGCUGAAGUCCGGGUCUACUAAAGUAGCGUCUCAGUGUAAUCGGGCCAAAUCUGGCAUUGUGUAGUCGGACCGACUACGUUGCAUUGUGCCUGGACCAAUUAUGGUUUGAUAUGAUACUGCCAAGAUGUGUAUGAUGUCAGAAAUUCAGUAUGUGGCCCGAUACCAGUGGAACUGACACAUGCCGGUUGUAACGCUGUUUGGCGGCAAUUUAAAAAUGUUUAUGCUUCAGACGGACAGUAUACAGUACACGGCCCGAUUCCGUGAUGCGGCAAUCAGCCCUCUAGCUGUUGAACGGCAACAUCACGACUGCUGUUAUGAUUUGAAUCAAGCAGAGCACAAAGCUGAGCUCCCGUUCGACACAGACACCAUCAUCAAUAACUGGUUAACUGGUUGGGGCUUAUUGGCGGGACAGAUGUACGAGACUGCACAUGGCAUAUAUUGAAGAGGGCGACCGACAACUCCCUGGCUUAAAACCUCAACUGGAUGGAAAAGACUUUAUUUGCCACCCUCUAACUCAGAGAGGUAGUGAUUGAUGCAGUUCGGAGAAGGUCCCUUACAGUUGUGGAGGGGACAAUGAAGAGGUGGCUCGAUCGAGAGGGUGGGUGCAAGAGACAACUUUAGCAAAA